CAAGAACUCAUCAUGGAAAGGGUGGUCCAAGAGUCAAAGAAACUUCAGCAGGAAGCAGAGGAGAAUGCGAAGGUAAUGAUAAAGCUACGGGAGUUCUUAAUGGACCGUGGUCGUGUUGUCGAUGUAUUGCAGAUUGCCUCAAGUUCUUAAAAGAAAUACCUUCUGCAGCAAUAAAUGAUGCAUCUGCCA